ACACGGGACGUGGGGACAUGGGGACAUGGGGACAUGGAACACGGGGCGUGGGGACACAGGGGACACGGUGUGGGGACAUGGGGACAUGGGGACAUGGGACACGCGGUGUGGGGGCAUGGGACAUGUGACGUGGGGACAUGGGGACAUGGGACACAAGGCGUGGGGACACGGUGUGGGGACAUGGGACACGGGACACGGGGCGUGGGGACACGGUGUGGGGACAUGGGACACGGGACACGGGGCGUGGGGACACGGGGGACACGGUGUGGGGACAUGGGACACGGGACACAUGGAAUGGGGACACGGGACACACGGUGUGGGGAUGUGGGACACAGGACGUGGGGACAUGGGACACAAGGUGUGGGGACACGGGGGACAUGGUGUGGGGACAUGGGACACACAGUGUGGGGACGUGGGACAUGUGAUGUGGGGACAUGGGGACAUGGGACACGUGGUGUGGGGACAUGGGGACAUGGGACACGUGGUAUGGGGGCAUGGGACACACGGUGUGGGGACAUGGGACAUGGGACACGUGGCAUGGGGACACAGGGACAUGGGACAGGCAACACGCGGUGUGGGGACACGGGACGUGGUGGGGACAUGGGGACACAAGGACAUGGAGACACAGGGACACGUGGUGUGGGGACAUGGAAAACAUGGCGUGGGGACAUGGGACACGUGGUGUGAGGACAUGGGACACACGGUGUGGGGACACGGGACACGGGGAGUGGGGACAUGGGACAUGAGACAUGGGACACGUGGUGUGGGGACAUGUGACACAGGACAUGGGAGAGGCAACAUGCGGUGUGGGGACACGGGAUGUGGUGUGGGGAGGUGGGGACAUGGGGACACGUGGUGUGGGGACACAAGGACACGGGGGGACACAGGGUGACACGGGGUGACACACACGGGGGGACACAGGGUGACCCACCUCCGCGCUGCCCUCCUCCCCACCUGGCCAGGGACCCCACGGGAGACACACGGGAUGUCACCCACCCCCCAUGAUGUCACACCCCCAAUGUCACCCACCCCUCCAUGAUGUCACCCCCC
rnacentral:lncRNA from 1 species